rnacentral:rRNA from 1 species
AUGCAAGUCGAACGGAGCGAAUGAAAGCUUGCUUUUAUAAGCUUAGUGGCAAACGGGUGAGUAACACGUAGACAACCUGCCGACAGGAUGGGACAACAUUCCGAAAGGAAUGCUAAUACCGAAUGAAGUGCAGGGGAGGCAUCUCCCCUGCAUGAAAGAUGGCCUCUGAAUAUGCUAUUACCUGUUGAUGGGUCUGCGUCUGAUUAGCUGGUAGGUGAGGUAACGGCUCACCUAGGCGACGAUCAGUAGCCGGUCUGAGAGGAUGAACGGCCACAUUGGGACUGAGACACGGCCCAGACUCCUACGGGAGGCAGCAGUGGGGAACCUUCCGCAAUGGGCGCAAGCCUGACGGAGCAACGCCGCGUGAGUGAAGAAGGUCUUCGGAUCGUAAAGCUCUGUUGAUGGGGACGAACGUGCCUAAUGCGAAUAGUAUUAGGUAAUGACGGUACCCAUCGAGGAAGCCACGGCUAACUACGUG